rnacentral:rRNA from 1 species
CCCGCUGAACUUAAGCAUAUCAAUAAGCGGAGGAAAAGAAACCAACAGGGAUUGCCCCAGUAACGGCGAGUGAAGCGGCAACAGCUCAAAUUUGAAAUCUGGCCUUCGGGUCCGAGUUGUAAUUUGUAGAGGAUGCUUUUGGCGAGGUGCCUUCCGAGUUCCCUGGAACGGGACGCCAUAGAGGGUGAGAGCCCCGUCUGGUCGGAUACCAAGCCUCUGUAAAGCUCCUUCGACGAGUCGAGUAGUUUGGGAAUGCUGCUCAAAAUGGGAGGUAUAUGUCUUCUAAAGCUAAAUAUUGGCCAGAGACCGAUAGCGCACAAGUAGAGUGAUCGAAAGAUGAAAAGCACUUUGAAAAGAGGGUUAAAAAGUACGUGAAAUUGUUGAAAGGGAAGCGCCUAUGACCAGACUUGGGCCCGGUGAAUCAUCCAGCGUUCUCGCUGGUGCACUUUGCCGGGCACAGGCCAGCAUCAGUUUGGCGCGGGGGAUAAAGGCUUUGGGAAUGUGGCUCCCUCGGGAGUGUUAUAACCCAUUGCGCAAUACCCUGCGCCGGACUGAGGUACGCGCAUCGCAAGGAUGCUGGCGUAAUGGUCAUCAGCGACCCGUCUUGAAACACGG